GGACUUGGGAGUUGGAAUUAUUUUUUCACGUGCAAAAUAUACUACAACAGUAAUUGUGUGUGGCCAAAGUUACUGGUGAAUGAAAAUCUAACCAGCAUUCGCUAACUGAAAUAUUGCAGAGCACAAAAUAUAAACAUGGGGAGCUAGAAUCAAAAUCAGUUGGAAAAACAAGUGUGGAAUCUGAAAUAAUGCACCCAAAUGUCACACCAAAUAUCCAGAUGGGACUAGAAUCAGUAGAAACUCGGCGUACGGCACGGCGCCGGCGCUCGACGCGCCCGCCGCGCGCAGCCUCGUCCACGCCUCCUCCAUCUGCGUGGCGCACAUCACCUUCCGCGCCUCCGCCACCGUCAGCCCCGCCGCCGUCGAUGGCGGCGGCUCCUCCCUCACCACCGGCAAAUGCUGCAACGGCGCCGAGCCUGGUUGGAUGCGCGGGAAUGCCGGGUGGCAAGGAGGGAAGAGAGCGGUCGACGCAGGGCGCGGCCGACGGACGGCGGGGAGCGGCGACGGACGGCGCAGGGCGGGGUGUGGGAGGAGG
rnacentral:lncRNA from 1 species